CUUAACCUUUCGUACUUAUAUUAAAACUUGAAGAACAGAAAUUGUUUUUCCUUCGCGGAUUUCCGCCAUGAAAGAACUGGCUAACAAUGAAUAUAACCCUGAUAAAAAAACACCACCUAAAAAAAACUUUUCGCAUGUUAAAGCAAAAGUGGGCUCUUUAGAAAAUAAAAAUUAUGUUUCUAAAGGUUAAAUCCUUUGAAAAUAUUAAUUUUGUUACCAGAGGAGGGAAUAUUCAAACGCCUACAUACAAAUACGAUUAUUCCCAUGUGAAGUCUAAGGCAAGUUUAGGCUUAUUUUUCAAUCGAUAUAAUUUAC